GAAGCAUAUCAAUAAGCGGAGGAAAAGAAACUAACAAGGAUUCCCCUAGUAACGGCGAGUGAAGCGGGAAGAGCUCAAAUUUGAAAUCUAGUAGCCUUCGGCUGCUCGAGUUGUAAUCUAUAGAAAUGUUUUCCGUGCUGGCUCAUGUACAAGUCCCUUGGAACAGGGCGUCAUAGAGGGUGAGAAUCCCGUACUUGACAUGAAUUACCAGUGCUCUGUGAUACAUUUUCAAAGAGUCGAGUUGUUUGGGAAUGCAGCUCAAAAUGGGUGGUAAAUUCCAUCUAAAGCUAAAUAUUGGCGAGAGACCGAUAGCGAACAAGUACCGUGAGGGAAAGAUGAAAAGCACUUUGGAAAGAGAGUUAAACAGUAUGUGAAAUUGUUAAAAGGGAAACGAUUGAAGUCAAUCAUGUCCUUGGGUCUUACCACCCUUGGAUGGGGUCAACAUCAGUUUUGAUCGGUGGAUAAGGAUAGGAGGAAGGUAGCACUCUCGGGUGAACUUAUAGCCUCCUGUCGCAUACACUGGUUGAGACUGAGGUCUGCUAUUACAGGAUGUUGACAUAAUGGCUUUAAACGACCCGUCUUGAAACACGGACCAAGGAGUCUAACAUAUCUGCGAGUAUUUGGGUGUCAAACCCGAGUGCGCAAUGAAAGUGAAUGUAGGAGUGAUCCGCAAGGAGCAACUUCGACCGAUCUGGAUCUUUAGUGAUGGAUUUGAGUAAGAGCAUAUAUGUUGGGACCCGAAAGAUGGUGAACUAUGCCUGAAUAGGGCGAAGCCAGAGGAAACUCUGGUGGAGGCUCGUAGCGAUUCUGACGUGCAAAUCGAUCGUCAAAUUUGGGUAUAGGGGCGAAAGACUAAUCGAACCAUCUAGUAGCUGGUUCCUGCCGAUU
rnacentral:rRNA from 1 species